rnacentral:rRNA from 1 species
CACGUAGGGGACGAGCGUUGUCCGGAUUCAUUGGGCGUAAAGCGCGUGUAGGCGGUUCGGUAAGUCUGCUGUGAAAGUCGGGGGCUCAACCCUCGAAUGCCGGUGGAUACUGUCGGACUAGAGUGCGGAAGAGGCGAGUGGAAUUCCUGGUGUAGCGGUGAAAUGCGCAGAUAUCAGGAGGAACACCGGUGGCGAAGGCGCCCACCUGGCCUGCUACUGACGCUGAAGCUCGAAAGCUAGGGGAGCAAACGGG